rnacentral:lncRNA from 1 species
AGAAACCCCAACAAGCACACCAUAGUGUACUAUAGGAGGAUCACAGUAAUUUCUUGGUACAAAGAUAAUGCUUUUGGUUGGGUGAGCUUAACACCCUUUGACCAAGGCCACAAGAACACAACCUUCCUUCAAGCAGUGUUUGAAGGGCAGAGGGUGAUUAAGCUCAAAUCUAAACAACUUGGUGAGUAUAAAGAUGAGACAAGUGUUGGGAUUUACAAGGACCUUGCUGUGGAUUUUGAUCUUAGAAUCAGAGCCAAGUAUGGAAAGUUCAAGAGUAGUCGUUUCAAUACACCCAUUGUUCAGUGUCGCCGAUUGAGGGUUCCUUUGAUUUCUAAUGGUAAAUCAGUACCUCCUUUUAGUGUCACCAGAUGCAAAAGUGCUUCUUUCUUCUCAGAUCGUGAUGCGCCUGAUGUUGAUGGAUAGGAGCUGCAGGCUGAUAUGAAACCUCUAUAAUCAGUUGACCAUGUCAGUUAAUCUGUACACAAUUUUUCCAUUAAAAAUAAUCUGCAGAGAGAUGUGUAAAGGUGUUACAUGGAUAUAUAUACACCAUAACAUAUAAAAACACUCUCAUGUAUGUUGUAUACAAAAAAUAAAGGAAAAUACUCAAUUUAUGUAUCAUUUUGAUUUUCUUAUGUUAUAUGAUAUUUCAGCUGGUUGUUGUUCAUUUCUUUGUAGUCCCCAUGAUUGUGAUUGAUGAUAUACUGUAAUGUUUACUUUUAAUUUCCAAAAGUAGAUACAUACGUGGAGAGAGGUGGAAACUUGAGAAUUGCAUCUUUUGGUAAACGAGAAUUCACACACGCCAAUUAUAUAGAAUUUGUCAUGGAUAUAUCAUUCCCAUCAACGUAAACUUCACCAGCCAAUUUUCCUCUAAAGCAUCAACAUCAACUGGUCUUGUAUGACAUUUUUUUUAUUCAUAAAUGGCAAUAAUAGUAGGAACAUUUUAAUAGCGACAUGUUGUCUGUGUUUAAAAAGUAAAAAAAAAUGGAAUAAUUAAUUUCUUCACAACUGGGAAUUUUAUAUGAAACUUGUCGUUUGGAAAUGGUUUUAAUUGACCUAUUUACACAUCUUUUUAUUUUCACAAAUGAAUUUAUUUCAAUAUUCUAUUUAAAUAUUUAAUUAUCGUUCAUCCAUCUUCCAUGUUGGUCAAUAACCCCUCUACAUGAUAAGGAUUAACCUCAUGCAUUUGAUUAAACAUUAACCUCAUGUUAGUUCUUAAUUAUUUUAUAAAUUAAUCCGAAGACAGCCGUCCUUAUCCAAAAUUACCUUCUUUCAUAUAAAAAUCUCUUAUAAAAAUAUUUCUGAUUUAACUAUAAGAAAAAAUAGUUAAUUUUGCACUAAUUAAAAAAUUCAAUUUAUUAUUUACUUGUAGUAAUCUCAAUUAAAAAAUAAUUUUAACUUAAAUGUACUUUCAAUUCAUAUGAUCAUUUUUUUUCUAAUGGAUCCAUGCGGUUAUAAAAAUUCCUAAAAAUAGCUGGCGUGACAAAUAAUUGCUGGCAUUAGAAAGUAGUUGUCAACAAAAAAUAUCAUAUUAUGAGUGUCACGUAAGUAAGGAAAAAAGACAAAAUUAUUGGGGUUAAAAACCUAAAUGGGAAAAUUUAAAUUUUAAAUUAAAUACUAAUAUAAAAUAAAUACUUAAGUAAACCUAACUAAACUUUAAUCUAACUUAGCUCAGAUUUACAAAACUUGAGUUUGUUUUAUUUUAUUGUAGAUUCAUUUUUAAGACUUAGUUUGUCCUAUUUGAAAGUCUAACAUAUAUUUUUAAAGAUUUUAGAUAAACCGACAAACAUGAACCAAGGCACAUUUUAGUUUUAUAGAACCACAAUCUUGUGUCACAGUUGCAACUUAAGUAUUUAUCCUAUCCAUUUGUGAAUAUUUUUGGAAUAUCUGCAGGGUUCGAAUACACUUUUUCAUCCUUAAAAAUUACCAAUUUAGCAUAAUAAUUACACUUUAAAGGCCAAAAUAAAAAAAUGAAACUUAAAAGACCACAAUAUAAUAAAAAUAUAUAAAUAAGAAAUCAAAAUUAUAUUUAACCAAAAAUAAUAAUAAAAGAACUCAAAAUGAUCCUAAUAAAAUAUAAAGUUAACUUAUUUUUUAAAGUUUGAACCUAAAAUAUUGUGCGAGCUACUCAAAUUCCCAAAUCCCUACAUACAUGGCUAGGGAUGACAAUAGGUGGGUUUUGGAUAGGAUCUUAUAGUGUUGAUUCUCAUACCUGUGUUUUAAAAAAAUCUUCAUACCCGGUCUCAUAGCUUGACAGAUAGUAACUUUAACCCUCAUCUUGUUUCUAUUAGAUACUUAUAUACUCAUAAUCACACUUGCAACUCACACUAAUGUAUAAAGUUAAUAAAUCAAGUCAAGUUAAUACAUAAUCCUGAGUUGUCUAAACUCAAGUCAAUACACAAAAAUUACAAAAAUAAUAAUUUAACAUUAUGAUUCCUAAAGUUAAUAUUCUAAUCGCUUAAUAAAAACUCUAAUUAAACUUGAAUAUCAUGGAUAAUUUAUGUGUGUGUAUAUGUGACAUGUACAUAACAAGAGGAGUGAGUAUUAUAAUAUUCAUACCUGCACUCAUAUCUAUGUAAAUUUACAUAUAAAUAUUCGUUUUCCAUACCUAAUCUCAAUAUGUAGAUAAUUAUUCUUUUGACUUGUAAAUAAUUUUAUAGAUACCCGUAAGAUCAGGUGGACUUUUUUGUCCCUAUUGUACCAUAGUGAAUUUUUCUUUUGAGAUGCAUGUAUCUAUCAAUUGACACAUGCAUGAUAAGUAGUGAAAAAUAACAAAUUAUUAAAGAAAGUAUUUAAUAGGUUUUUUUUACGAAAGUAUUUAUUAGGUUAAAAGUUAAAAAAUUAAUCAAUGCUUUUUUUAUAAUUUAAAACACUUAAUAUGAUAUAUUAAAUAUUUUUUUACCAGAUGUCUUAAUACAGACACAAUUUCUUCAUCACAUUUUAUAUUGUGUACUCUCAUCUCCACGUUUCCUAGUUGUUAAUCAAACUAUAUAUUGAAGAAUUUUUCUUUACUCGGCUUCAAAAGUCAAUGCCUCGGUGCACUUGUAUUAUAUUUUGCAGGGAAAUCUCCCAGAAAAGAUCAAUCAACAAACCACACGCCUAAACCAUCAACGUCUAUACCCUUCAAAUACCCUUAGACAAGUGUUGGGAUUUACAAUGACUUGACUGUGGAUUUUGAUCUUAGAAUCCGGGCCAAGUUUGGAAGGUUGUUCAAGAGUAAUCGUUUCCAUCCACCAGUCGUGCAGUGUCGCCGUUUGAAGGUUCCUUUGAUUUUUAAUGAUAAAACAGCACCUCCUUUUAGUGUCACCAGAUGCAGUGCUGCUUAUUUCUUUUCAGAUCGUGAUGCUAAAGUCCAAGCAGAUGGAAAUGCAUUUAGUUACAUUACCAUUAACCAGGAAAAGUCACGGUGUCUUUUCUUCACCUUAUUUCAUUAAAUCAAUUUGAUAGCUCGAAUUUUGUGGCAAAAAGGUUUAUAGGCUUUAAUUGAAAAAUAAAAUAAAAAAUUAAACUUAAUAAUUUAAUGUGACAAAAUAAGUCUUAUGACAUUAUAUGACUAGAUCACUUUUUUUUUUUUUUUACUUUGAAAUUAAUAUGGUUUUUAUAUUUAGUUGUAUUCUAGCAGUUUUAUAUCAUCACAAAAAUUUCUUUUACAACAGGUGACAGAUGUGUAAACAGUAAGAUUGAUCUAAUGGCCUAAAAUGAGAGAAAACUACUUAACUUUUACCCCUUAAAAUCACUGAAUCCAUAACCAGAGCUUCCUGUUAUGAAACCUCUUUAACCCCUGGAUAUAUGGAUAUUUGAGCUGUUGCUGUCAGUUAAUUUGUGCACAAUUUUUCCAUUACCUCAAUCUGCAGUGCUAUGUAAAAGUGUUACAUGCAUAUAUAUACAUAAGUAUAUAUAUAUAUAUAUAUAUAUAUAUAUAUAUAUAUAUAUAUAUAUAUAUAUAUAUAUAUAUAAGUAUACAAAAAUAAAGAAAAAUUCUCAUGUUAUGUAUGACUUCGAUUUUCCAGACUGCUGUUUAUAUGUUAUUUCAGUUUUAAUUGGUAAAUUAGAAUUCACACACACGCAGAUUAUAUAGAAUUUUACAUGGGAUGUCACUUGACCAACCAAUGUUCCUCUAAGUCUCACGACUAGCCUUGUAUGAAAUUAUAUAUAUUAAUGAAUGAUUUUCAAAGCAGUAGGAAUAUUUAGAUGCGACAUGUUAUCGAUUGAGUUUAAAAAGUCAAAAAAAUGAAAUAAUUAAUUUCUUCACAAUUGGGAAUUUUAUGCAAGUUUGUUGGGAAAUGGUAUCAAUCGACCUAUAUUUACACAUCAUUUUUAUUCUCAUUCUUCAAAUGAAUUCAUUUCAAUUUGAAUAUUUAAUUAUUGUUCCAUCUUCCAUCUUUGUCAAUUAUAACCCUCUACAUGAUAAGGAUUAAGCUCAUGCAUUUGAUUAAACAUUAAAGCAUAGGAGCUAAAUGACUGUAUGAUUAUGACUAUGUGCUAGUUCUUAAUCAUUCCAAAAAUAUAUAUAUUCUCUAUCAUAUAAUAAAGUACUCAAGUUGUUUUUUUUUUUUUCAUCUUUUUCAAGAACACCGAAUGACGUAAUGCUAAUUAAUAAGUAUUUCAUUGUGAAGAUUCUGAAUUGCUACUUUCCUGGGAAACCACGUAGGCAAUGAUUCAUGACCCAAUUGGAUAUUUCGAAUAUAAGCACCACACUAGCAUGUUAUUGUCAACAGUAAGAAAUCGUUCACUGUGACAGUGUCUGUUCUCUUGCAUCUAAAACUACAAGAGACUGAUAUAGGUACAACACGGGUUACAUAUAAAUAGAGUGUUUUUUCUUACAAAGAAAAAAAAUGUGACACUAGAAGUCUAAGGAGUGCCACUAGAAAACGUUGCAAAAGCAAAUGAGUGACACUACAAGUCUAACUUCGCUCUUGGAUGUUAACAAAGUAAGUUCUACUAAGUUAGAAAAUAACUGUUGAUUACAUCUAGUCUAGAUCUUACAUUUUCCAAAGUUUUUAAGUUCUUCCAUUAGUAGAUCUGCCACUGAUUAAAGAAAACGUACCACACUCAGUACAAAGAUAUUAACAUUGAAGAAAUUAAUAUGCUAUUCCAGUUGGAGGCAUCUUUCGUUCCUCAGGCAUAUUGAACUACAUAAAAAGGAGACAACAUCUUGAAUCAGAUCAAAAUAAAUUCUCUACGUAUUUAAUAGUUCUACCUCUAUAUUCUCUACAUCUUGUAGUUUAAUGUGUCCUCUAUAUUCUCUACAUCUUGUAGUUUAAUGUGUCUUAACUCUUAAGGAAUUCUGCCCACUAUUAUAUUUACACAAUCAAAACCCAAAUAAUUAAGUAGGAGGUAAAGUUUAAUGGCUCUACCUGUUACAUAUCCAGUGAGGGUUUAUUCCUUUUGCUUCUAUGCAAUGAGGGCACAUCCAUCCCUUGUUCUUUCUCACUUCCUCUAUUUCUAAAACAGAACAAUAGUGAACAAUUUCAGACUACCAACAUGAGUAAUUUUUAAUAAGUCUUGUUAUAUUUUAGAAUAUCUCACUAUUGAGUUCAAAGCAUAACUUACAACUUUAUGAUGAAACAAAUUUUAUAACAUAAGAUAGUUUUUAUGUCAAAAAGAAUGAAAAAUAAGCAAUAACUUUAUAACAUAUAACCUCUAGAUGCAGGUAUGAGGGUGGGACAACUAAAACUAUUUCAAUUAAAUAUAUUAUACUACUAUAUAUCAAACAAAUAUAAAACCAAGCUCUUAAGAUUGGCCAAGGGUGGACUUAAUAUUAGUUAACAAAAGCUAAGUCAUGAAUACCCUUACUGUACAACCAAAGUUAAUGUGAAACCAAGGAUUUUUCUUAAUGCAAUUUUAAUUUGUUUGCCUUGUUUAGCUGCCCCUUAUCGUUGGCUGAACUAUUUUUUCUCACCUUCACCAUAUCAAAUCUUGAGACAGGCUCUACAAAAAACACCAGUGCUAGAGUGACAGACAGAACAAUCAGUCUUUCCUGUUAGGAAAUCAUUGUCAAACUGUUAAAACAUUGUGGAACUAAAGCAAAAAAAGAACUCAAAAUAAGACUUUUUAAAUCUGACCUAGGCAUGGUUCUUUCACAUCAAAAUUGCCACAUCUCUUGCAGUCUUCUUCGCCACACAAUUUCUUUUGCCUGCAUUUGUGUUUUAGUGUUACAUCGCAAUGUCAUCAACUCAUCAUCAUCAUCAUCAGCUAUACCAAAUACUAUUACACUUGUUUAUAUAUAUAGCUCCACAUUAAACCCAUUACCUAUUAGGAAAUUUCUCUACAUUGACCAGAUUGGAUAUAUGUCAAAUUGUUGGCAAUGACCAAACAGUAUCAUCAUUUUGUAUUAGCUUCUAAUAUAAAGCAUAUACCACAAGAACCUUAUACCCCAAAUAACAAACUAAUAUAAGCUUAUACUAUAAAGCAUAUACUACCAAACUGUGAACCUUAUACCCCAAUUCUAAUAUAAAGCAUAUACCACCAAACCGUGAACCUUAUACCCCAAAUAACAAACUAAUAUUAUCUUCUAAUAUAAAGCAUAUACCACCAAACUUUGAGCCUUAUAUCCCAAUAACAAACUAUGUAAAUUUGUGACUAAGGAUUAGUAAAACAUUAAAUUAAUCUCCAGUUGUUAACAAACAAAAGGGAGUGAGAAAAUGGACCUGCAAAAAUGGCAGCAUAUCCCCAAAAUUGGAUUGUAGACACUACCUCUGUCCUUGCUAUCACACCGCCGAGCAGAAUUCUCUGCUGAAAGCUGAAGAUCUACAUUGCUUAGGUUUAUGAAAGGAACAUUGGCAGGCCUCUGCUCCUCUUUUUUCACUUCACACAAAGUUACCUUCUUCUCUGUCACAAUUCACAGAAAAAGUUACCAAAACAAGCAGUGGUUGAAGAAAGAGUAAAUAGCAAUCAUGGUCUUCCAAAUAUAUACGCCUAGUGGUCACAUGCUACUUCACUUAUAAAAUACAUGAUACAUACUAGUCUUUCAAAAAUAGAGAAUGAUGCAAAAUGAUUCCUUAUGAAGGAGGAAAAAACUAAUGGCAUUAAUUUUCAAAUGAAGAACCAAUAUUGUUGCAGAAAUGUCAUGUGACAUGUAUGUUUUGGAGGAUCAAAAUAAUUGUACCUUUAAUUUGAUCCUACAAAGAUUAGAGUGUCACUAAAUUAGUCCUUCAAACAUUAAAAAAAUUCACUAUAUUAGUCUUCCAAAGGUACAAAUUAUUCUUCCUUGCAUUUGAAGGAUUGAAGUGGUGAUGCAAAAUACUAGUCCUUUAAGAGGGGAAAGGUGUGUGUGAUAUUUAGGAGGUUGUUCCAGAAAAGAGAGACAAGAAGAGUAAAGAAAAAAGCUUAAACCUUGUUUGAUGGGUGUGGAAUGCUGAGACUAAGAAGGUGGCGGCGUAAGGUUGUUGCUGAUUCGCUGAGAGUAGCGCAAAGGGGUGAGACCGUACAGUUUUUUUUGGUAAGUACGAGGUUGUUGUUGUUGUUGUUUCUUGGCUUGUUGUCGGAGCUGAGAAACGGUAUUCACAACACCCAAAGACUCCAACUGAAGCCUGAUUCUCUAACAUGCGAGCCUUUCUGAGAGCUUCAUACUCGCAUUUUGCUUUCUCUCUCACUCUCCCAAUUCUCUUCUUCUGAGACUUCACUCGUAAUAAUGUAACAUUACACUUUUCACUUUCUGUUAGAAAUGAUAGUAAUUCUGACUUUGUUGGUUAAGUCUUUCUAAUAUAGGAAGUUAGUUGGUUAGUUAAUAAUGAUGCAAUCAAGUUGUUAGUGAGGGGCCAAAAUGCAAAAUACAAUUCAGUCUCUGUCCCUCUUAUAAAUACUGUUUUCAUUGUUCUUUCAAUAAUAAUUUUUUCAGAUUCUUUCAUUUUCCUUAUUUGUUAGUUUUGCUUCUCUCUAAACCUCUCUCACUUUUCUCCUUCCUCAAGUUACCUCUUUGUGCGUGUGUGUGCGCAAGAACAGGAAGUUCUAACAGUGGUAUUUCAGAGCUAGGUUCGAAAAAGAGACCAAUUCUCCAAUCAUGGCUUCGAAUGGUCCUUUUCCCUUAAAUCUUCCAAUUCUAACCGGCAAGAACUUCAACAGAUGGAGUGUGCAAAUGAAAGUCUUGCUUGGAUUUCAAGACUUGACCGGUGUGAUUGAGAAUGGAAUAGAAAUUCCUAAAGAGGGAGCCUCAGAUUUGCAGAAGACUGAAUUCAAGGAUCUGAAGAAGAAAGACUGCAAAGCCUUGGUGAUCUUGCAUCAAUGUGUCGAUGAUUCUCACUUUGAGAAAAUCGAAAAUGCUAAAUCCGCAAAGGAAGCAUGGGACAUUCUGAACAAGGCUUAUGCAGGAGCUGAUAAGAUCAAGAAGGUGAGACUUCAGACUCUUCGAAGGCAAUUUGAAUUGCUGCAGAUGGAAGAGACCGAGAGCAUUGGAGAUUACUUUGGAAGAUUGCAGGUUCUUGCAAAUUCAAUCACUAGUUGUGGUGAUACAAUUACUAAUCUGACGUUAGUUGAGAAAGUUCUGAGGACCCUGAAUCCAAGAUUCAAUCACAUUGUGGUUGCAAUUGAGGAAUCAAAGGACUUGGAAUCAUUAUCUGUUGAUGAAUUACAAAGAUCACUUGAGGCACAUGAACAAAGAUUGCAAGAAAGAGCAAAUGAUAAGGCUACAGAACAAGCACUGCAAGCACACCAUCAAUCAAGAAAUGGUGGUUCUGAUAAUCGCAGAGGCAAGAAAGGAAGAGGGAGAUUCCAGAACACGAGAGGUAGAGGAGGUUACUCCAAAGAUAAAGGUAAACCUCAACCUGAUCAAAGAAGUGGAGAUAACUGCAGUAAAAGAAGUGGUGGUUCUGGUACUCGUGGAAGAGGAGGCAAAAAGAAAUGGGAUAAAAGAAAUGUUGAAUGCUUCAAUUGUGGAAAAAGAGGUCAUUAUGCAGAAGAAUGCUGGUAUAAGGAGAAAAAUGCUGAUGAUGAAGCACAAUUAGCCACAGGAGCUGUUUCUGACACUGAACCAGUGUUGUUGAUGGUCAUAACAAAGACUGGAGCUGAUGCAAAAGAUCAAUGGUACUUGGACACAGGAUGUUCAACACAUAUGACUGGUCACAAGGACUGGUUUGUUAGCCUUGAUGAGUCAGUAAAUCACAAGGUCAGAUUUGCAGAUGACAGCACUAUUAGAGUUGAAGGUCAUGGCAAGGUUGUGAUUAAAAGAAGGGAUGGUACAGUGUCAUACAUUGAGGAUGUGCUCUAUGUUCCAAACAUGAGAUGCAAUCUUCUAAGUCUUGGCCAACUACUUGAUAAGAAAUACAGAAUGGUGAUGGAGGACAAAGAAAUGAAGAUCUAUGACAAGGACAAAAGGUUGAUCAUCAAAGCUCCAUUCAACAGGAAUAGAACUUUUAAGGUUGGUAUUCAAGUCAUGAAACACAAUUGCUUGCAGGCUGAGACAUGUAGAGAGGAAUGGUUGUGGCAAUACAGAUUUGGACCCUUGAAUUUCAAGGAUUUGAGUCAACUGCACAGAAUGGCUCAAGGAAUACCUCACUUGAGACAGAUGACAGAUAACUGCAGAGAAUGCCUAGAGUGCAAGCAACCAAGGAAUGCAUUUCAGAAAUUUGUACCAGUAAAGUCAACACAUAAAUUGGAGGUGAUCUAUUCAAAUGUUUGUGGUCCUCUUCAGGUUGAAUCCCUAGGAGGAAACAAGUACUUUGUAACAUUCAUAGAUGACUUGACUAGAAUGACUUGGAUUUAUAUAAUCAAGAAGAAAAAUGAGGUUCCUAUAAUUUUCAAAAAAUAUAAAGCCUCAGUAGAAAAAUGUAGUGGCCACUGUAUAAAAACAUUAAGAACUAACGGAGGUGGUGAAUACACCUCCAAGGAAUUUGCUGAGUUUUGUGAUGAGGCAGGUAUCACUCAUGAGUUCACUCCACCUUAUACACCACAACACAAUGGUGCUGCUGANNNNNNNNNNNNNNNNNNNNNNNNNNNNNNNNNNNNNNNNNNNNNNNNNNNNNNNNNNNNNNNNNNNNNNNNNNNNNNNNNNNNNNNNNNNNNNNNNNNNNNNNNNNNCAAAUGCCCUACCAAGAGACUGAAAGGAGUGACACCUGAAGAAGCUUGGACUGGUACUAAACCAAAAGUGAAUCAACUCAGAAUUUUUGGUUCACUUUGUUAUAAGCAUGUCCCUGAGCAGUUGAGGCAGAAACUGGAUGAAAAAGGUGAACAAAUGAUCCUUAUAGGCUAUCAUGCAACUGGAGGUUACAAGCUACUUGAUCCAAGGUCAAAGCAGGUCUCUGUGAGCAGAGGUGUGAUAUUUGAUGAACUAAAGGAAUAUGAGUGGAAGGAGGACCCUAUAAACAAUACAACCAAGAUUCUGGUAGAUUCAAUCAUUCCAAAAGAAUUGAGUGACACUACUGAUGAACUGCCUACAAGGAACACUGAAGGAGGAACCAGGAGGUCUUAAAGGGUUAUGCAACCCUCACAAAUGUUGAAAGAUUAUGAAGUCAUGAAAGACAGCCAAAUCACAGAUGAAGGUGAUAUUGUACACUUUUCCCUAUAUGCAGAUGCUGAACCUGUGAGUUUCGAAGAAGCCUUGAAGAAUGACAAGUGAGUCAAUGCUAUGAAAGAGGAGCUGAAAUCAAUUGAGACAAAUCAUACCUGGCAGCUAAUGGCAAGUGCAUAUCUGAACAUGGAGUAUAUGUAAAAGGAGAAUAUGAGUCAGACUUAGUAAUAUUGUGCCUCUAUGUUGAUGAUUUACUCAUCACAGGAAACAACAAGGUAGAGAUUGACAAGAUUAAGCAACUGCUGAAGAAUCAAUUUGAAAUGACUGACUUAGGAUCUCUCUCAUACUUCCUUGGAAUUGAGUUCAAGGAAACUGAAGCUGGAAUUGUGAUGCAUCAAAGCAAAUAUGCUACAGACCUGUUGAAGAAGUUUCGAAUGACUAACUGUAAUGCAGCAGCCACCCCAGCUGAAACAGGAUUGGCAUUGAGUUUGAGAGAUGAAGGAGAACCUGUUGAUGAAACUCAGUACAGACAGAUUGUGGGUUCAUUAAGGUACUUGUGCAAUACAAGACCUGAUUUGGCAUUCAGUGUUGGACUGAUCAGUAGGCUUAUGCAAACUCCAAAAACUCCUCACAUGAUGGCAACAAAGAGAAUUUUGAGGUAUAUUAGAGGCACAAUUAACUAUGGUAUUCUACUGCCAAAUACCAUCACGAGUUCAAACAUGGAACUGCUUGGCUAUACUGACUCAAACUGGAUAAGAGAUAAUGAUGAUAGAAAGAGCACUGCUGGAUAUAUUUUCCUACUUGGAGAUGCACUGGUGUCAUGGAGUUCAAAAAAGCAAGAUCUUAUUGCCUUAUCAACUUGUGAAGUUGAAUACAUAGCAGCAUCAAUGUGCUUGUGUCAAGGCUUAUGGCUAAGAAAACUGUUGAAAGAAAUGAAGAUCCAGAAGACUGAAGCUAUAAACAUACUGGUGAACAAUAAAUCUGCAAUCAGCCUUGCAAAAAAUCCAAUUGAUCAUGGUCGAAGCAAACACAUAGAAACAAGGUACCAUUUUAUUCGGGACAAGGUGAGCAAAGGGAAGGAAAAACUGCUAUACUGCAAGUCAGAAGAUGAUCUUGCAGACUUACUGACUAAACCUUUGAAGAAGAACAGAUUUGAAGACUUGAGAAACAAGAUGAUGAUCAUGAUUGAAUGAGAGUCAGAAUUAUGGGGGAGUGUCAGAAAUGAUAGUAAUUCUGACUUUGUUUGUUAAGCCUUUCUAAUAUAGGAAGUUAGUUGGUUAGUUAAUAAUGUUGUAAUCAAGUUGUUAGUGAGGGACCAAAAUGCAAAAUACAAUUCAGUCUCUGUCCCUCUUAUAAAUACUGUUUUCAUUGUUCUUUCAAUAAUAAUUUUUUCAUUCUCCUUAUUUGUUAGUUUUGCUUCUCUCUAAACCUCUCUCACUUUUCUCCUUCCUCAAGUUACCUCUUUGUGCGUGUGUGUGCGCAAGAACAACAAGUUCUAACACUUUCCAGCAACAUUUUUUUUUUCUGAAAUACUUUCCAGCAGCAUCGUGCUUAACGGUUGAAUUUCUGACCACAUUUACCGCUUCUAUCUAUAGUUACACAUGUCUUUCUGCUCCCCUCCCACCCUAAAAAAAAUUGUAAAAAAGGAAAAAGACAUCGAUUAAAUAAGAAAUUUGAUUAAAAAAGGUAACAGUACUGAUUAAAAAAACUGGAAAAAAAAUAUUUAGUAUGAGAAUUAUAAGAAAUUAUAAAAAUAUUAUAGGCAACUUAAUUUUUUACUUUUUAAUAAAAAUAUAUAUAACUCAAUUUGUACACUAUUAUUCAAUAUAUAACUCAAUUUGUACACUAUUAUGUAACUCUGCAGAUUGAGUUAUAUAUUGAAUAAUAGUGUACAAAUUGACAUUGUCAACAUAGAUUUCAUUCAUAAGCAUCCUGAUCUUGGAAAAAAUUAAUUACCAGUGUUGCGAAUUCAGAUUGGCUUUAGCAAGUGCAUAUCUGAACAUGGAGUAUAUGUAAAAGGAGAAUAUGAGUCAGACUUAGUAAUAUUGUGCCUCUAUGUUGAUGAUUUACUCAUCACAGGAAACAACAAGGUAGAGAUUGACAAGAUUAAGCAACUGCUGAAGAAUCAAUUUGAAAUGACUGACUUAGGAUCUCUCUCAUACUUCCUUGGAAUUGAGUUCAAGGAAACUGAAGCUGCAAUUGUGAUGCAUCAAAGCAAAUAUGCUACAGACUUGUUGAAGAAGUUUCGAAUGACUAACUGUAAUGCAGCAGCCACCCCAGCUGAAACAGGAUUGGCAUUGAGUUUGAGAGAUGAAGGAGAACCUGUUGAUGAAACUCAGUAUAGACAGAUUGUGGGUUCAUUAAGGUACUUGUGCAAUACAAGACCUGAUUUGGCAUUCAGUGUUGGACUGAUCAGUAGGUUUAUGCAAACUCCAAAAACUCCUCACAUGAUGGCAACAAAGAGAAUUUUGAGGUAUAUUAGAGGCACAAUUAACUAUGGUAUUCUACUGCCAAAUACCAUCACGAGUUCAAACAUGGAACUGCUUGGCUAUACUGACUCAAACUGGAUAAGAGAUAAUGAUGAUAGAAAGAGCACUGCUGGAUAUAUUUUCCUACUUGGAGAUGCACUGGUGUCAUGGAGUUCAAAAAAGCAAGAUCUUAUUGCCUUAUCAACUUGUGAAGUUGAAUACAUAGCAGCAUCAAUGUGCUCGUGUCAAGGCUUAUGGCUAAGAAAACUGUUGAAAGAAAUGAAGAUCCAGAAGACUGAAGCUAUAAACAUACUGGUGAACAAUAAAUCUGCAAUCAGCCUUGCAAAAAAUCCAAUUGAUCAUGGUCGAAGCAAACACAUAGAAACAAGGUACCAUUUUAUUCGGGACAAGGUGAGCAAAGGGAAGGAAAAACUGCUAUACUGCAAGUCAGAAGAUGAUCUUGCAGACUUACUGACUAAACCUUUGAAGAAGAACAGAUUUGAAGACUUGAGAAACAAGAUGAUGAUCAUGAUUGAAUGAAAGUCAAAAUUAUGGGGGAGUGUUAGAAAUGAUAGUAAUUCUGACUUUGUUUGUUAAGCCUUUCUAAUAUAGGAAGUUAGUUGGUUAGUUAAUAAUGAUGUAAUCAAGUUGUUAGUGAGGGACCAAAAUGCAAAAUACAAUUCAGUCUCUGUCCCUCUUAUAAAUACUGUUUUCAUUGUUCUUUCAAUAAUAAUUUUUUCAUUCUCCUUAUUUGUUAGUUUUGCUUCUCUCUAAACCUCUCUCACUUUUCUCCUUCCUCAAGUUACCUCUUUGUGCGUGUGUGUGCGCAAGAACAACAAGUUCUAACACUUUCCAGCAACAUUUUUUUUUUCUGAAAUACUUUCCAGCAGCAUCGUGCUUAACGGUUGAAUUUCUGACCACAUUUACCGCUUCUAUCUAUAGUUACACAUGUCUUUCUGCUCCCCUCCCACCCUAAAAAAAAUUGUUAAAAAGGGAAAAGACAUCGAUUAAAUAAGAAAUUUGAUUAAAAAAGGUAACAGUACUGAUUAAAAAAACUGGAAAAAAAAUAUUUAGUAUGAGAAUUAUAAGAAAUUAUAAAAAAUAUUAUAGGCAACUUAAUUUUUUACUUUUUAAUAAAAAUAUAUAUAACUCAAUUUGUACACUAUUAUUCAAUAUAUAACUCAAUUUGUACACUAUUAUGUAACUCUGCAGAUUGAGUUAUAUAUUGAAUAAUAGUGUACAAAUUGACAUUGUCAACAUAGAUUUCAUUCAUAAGCAUCCUGAUCUUGGAAAAAAUUAAUUACCAGUGUUGCGAAUUCAGAUUGGCUUUAGCAAGUGCAUAUCUGAACAUGGAGUAUAUGUAAAAGGAGAAUAUGAGUCAGACUUAGUAAUAUUGUGCCUCUAUGUUGAUGAUUUACUCAUCACAGGAAACAACAAGGUAGAGAUUGACAAGAUUAAGCAACUGCUGAAGAAUCAAUUUGAAAUGACUGACUUAGGAUCUCUCUCAUACUUCCUUGGAAUUGAGUUCAAGGAAACUGAAGCUGCAAUUGUGAUGCAUCAAAGCAAAUAUGCUACAGACCUGUUGAAGAAGUUUCGAAUGACUAACUGUAAUGCAGCAGCCACCCCAGCUGAAACAGGAUUAGCAUUGAGUUUGAGAGAUGAAGGAGAACCUGUUGAUGAAACUCAGUACAGACAGAUUGUGGGUUCAUUAAGGUACUUGUGCAAUACAAGACCUGAUUUAGCAUUCAGUGUUGGACUGAUCAGUAGGUUUAUGCAAACUCCAAAAACUUAAUAUUUUUUCCUAUACGUCUAACUUAAUAUGAACUUGCUAAAUAUUUUUUUCCCUAAUUUAUUUUUUCCUUGUUUUUAUUGCAUGAUAUAGUGUAUUGUUGAUUUAUAUAGUGUGAAUUCAAAUUAUUUUACUACUAUUAUUUUGUUAUUUAGUUCAAGUUAUUUAUUUCUUUCAUUUUUAUUUUAUUUUUUUAACACAACCUAGUCAACCCAACUUAAAAAUGUAACAUCGUACUGUAUGUUUAUAUUUACAUAAAGAAAAAUGAUUUAUUUUUUACUGUGUAAUUUUUUUUUUAAUUAAUAAUAAGUCGCCCACAAUAAGUAAAAUUAAUCUAUGAUUCAGAUAAUUAAGAAAAAAACAUGCGUGUGCAAAAAAAAACAAAAAAAGAAACAACCCAGUCGCAUCCUUAUUUCUUCACAUAAUAUUUUUAUAUAUACGUCUAACUCGUCGACCAAAUUGUGGUUUCCUUGUUACUUGUGAAUCAAACAAUUGAACAGUUCUUUCUUACUCGGCGUUCAAUAUUAAAAAGCCAAUGACAUUCUAUGCACUUGUACUGUAUUUUACAAGGAAAUCUCUCAGAAAACCUCAAUCAAACAAACCACAAGCCCAAAUCAUCAAUACUAAACCCCUUCAAAUACCCAUAUAUAGGUGGGAAAAAAUGACAUACCAUCUUUCAUCAUUCACCUAAACCUUCUUUUCCUACCAAUCAAUCACAUGUGUUGCAGAAACCGCUUCAUCGCCUGCACCUGCUGCAUAAUCAUCACCCUCUUCUUCAUGUUCAUAAUUUCCAUCAUCCUCUUUUGGAUAAUCAUAUCCCCAUCAAAUGUCAAGUUCCAUGUAACCGAUGCCUCCCUAACAGAAUUCAACCUCACAAGCAACAAUACCUUGUAUUACAACCUAAAGGUCAACGUCACAGUGAGAAACCCCAACAACAAAAUCGUAGUGUACUAUAGGAGGAUCAAAGCAAUAGCUUGGUACAAAGAUAAUGAUUUUGGUUGGGUGAGCUUAACACCCUUUGACCAAGGCCACAAGAAUACCACUUUCCUUCAAGCAGUGUUUGAAGGGCAAAGAGUGAUUAAGCUCAAACCUAAACAACUUGGUGAGUACAAAGAUGAGACAAGUGUUGGGAUUUACGAGGACUUGGCUGUGGAUUUUGAUCUUAGAAUCAAAGCAAACUUUGGAAGGUUCA